GACGAACGCUGGCGGCGUGCUUAACACAUGCAAGUCGAACGAUGAAGUUCCUUCGGGAAUGGAUUAGUGGCGAACGGGUGAGGAACACGUGAGAAACCUGCCUUUCAUUUUGGGAUAACUCCGGGAAACCGGGGCUAAAACCGAAUACUCCGUCUCGGCGGCAUCGCCGAGCCGGGAAAAAAUUUUGAUGAAAGAUGGUCUCGCGGCCUAUCAGCUAGUUGGUGAGGUAAUGGCUCACCAAGGCAACGACGGGUAGCCGGCCUGAGAGGGCGACCGGCCACACUGGGACUGAGACACGGCCCAGACUCCUACGGGAGGCAGCAGUGGGGAAUAUUGGGCAAUGGCGCAAGCCUGACCCAGCGACGCCGCGUGAGGGAUGAAGGCCUUCGGGUUGUAAACCUCUUUCAGUAGGGAAGAAGCGAAAGUGACGGUACCUAAAGAAGAAGCACCGGCUAACUAUGUGCCAGCAGCCGCCGUAA
rnacentral:rRNA from 1 species